rnacentral:rRNA from 1 species
UACAGAGACUGCAAGCGUUAUUCGGAUUCACUGGGCGUAAAGGGUGCGCAGGCGGUUGGGUGUGUCAGAUGUGAAAUCCCGAGGCUUAACCUCGGAACUGCGUCUGAAACUACUCGACUAGAGUACUGGAGAGGGAAACGGAAUUCACGGUGUAGCAGUGAAAUGCGUAGAUAUCGUGAGGAACACCAGAGGCGAAGGCGGUUUCCUGGACAGUUACUGACGCUCAGGCACGAAAGCGUGGGGAGCGAUCCGG